UCUCCCUUCCUCUCUCUCUGUUUCCCACUCUCCCCUGCCCAGAGUGAUUGACUAACAGUUUUCCCGCCACUUUCAGCACCUUGCGGCGGCGCCUAAGCCCAACCACCAGUUUUGUACAGAAACAACGUGCGCACAGUGGGAAGAAUGACUAUGGAGACGAUUGAAAUAAAAGUGAUGAAAGCAGCACAGUGGGAUGAAAGCAUUCGUGGCUCUGAAGGAUAAUGAGGAAUAAUUUAACAUAUACGGAAUGUAAAUAUGAAUUGGAUGCGACAAACGUUUUGUUUUCCAAAAAUCGGAUUUCAAAUUUCGCCAGGCACAAGAAAAAACGGCGCCAAAAAACUAUUUUGUUGCUCCCGCGACUGCGACCGAGCCGCAACAACAGCAACGGGAACGAACAGAUUCAAGAUACAAGUCGAUUCGCGACUGACGUAACGUACAAAAAUGUUGAGUUUGAAAUUUGUGCGCUCGGGCGCGCUGCUCCACGGCGGCGACGGUGGCAGUAGUCGGUUGUGUCGAUGUCGUAUGUUUCACGUCGAAAAGCGACUAAAACACACAGAUACUCGAGCGGCGGGCCAUGGGCGAAAAGUAUCUAUCGGCAACGUAGAACACACAGAGGCAACAACAACAAAGCGAACGGCAAACGAGCGGCGAGCAAACAGAGAACAACAACGCACAAAAACCCUGCUCUCUGUCGCACACACACAGCCACACACCCACACACACACACGCCA